CCUGAAACCCAGCCACGGGGCGGGGCCUGACUUCUUAGCGCAGUCCCCCUGCCGCGUGGAGGACCCUGCUCUCCGGCCCAGCAUAGAGCGACUCCCUCCUGCCAGCAGGGGGCGCGCGGAGCUGUCUCUCCGGAGGCUCCCGGCGGCUCAGUCUCGGAACCCGCAGCCGGGAGCGCAGGGCGGGCCACACAGGGCGCCAGCACCUCCCACGAGCUCCGCGGGCCUCGCAUCCGGAAGACGCCCCGGCUGACCGCGCGAAUGGCUCGCGCUGCCGCGGACACCCGCCUGCCAGGGACGGGGCCUCUCUCCUGGGCCGUUUCAUCUCACCGAGAGCGAGAUCCGCUUUCCUAGAGGCUGGGAGGACCAGGCCCGGGCACAGGACUGGCUUCGCACCACUGGCCCCGCAGUCGGGUCCCCGGGGACGCGCCACGGGUCACUGCUGCCUGCUAAAGCGACACAAGGCGCCUUCAUUCCUCAGGCCGAGGCGGCCGAACGCCUUGGCUCUGGCCGACAGUGAGCACCCACUGCGAGUCCGCACACACUGCAGCGCCCCCGGGCACGCCCCGCAGUCCGCCCAGCGUCCCCCGGGGCGGGGCACAGCCAGAGGACGGCCCGAGAGCCCUGCUGUCCCCGUCAGCGCCGCAGGAGGGCGCGACUUCCCCGCUGGGCCGAGGCCUUUGCCGGGCCCUCUACUGUACGCCGGUCCUAGGGCUGGGACCGCCGUCCUGGACCGACCUCAGCCCACUGUUCUGCGGAGGCCGCGUGUUGGGCGACAGCAGCCACCCAGCCCGGAAGCAGCCGUUCCGAGCGCAGGGGCGCCAAGAGCCCCGCGCCCCGCCUGUGCGCCGGCCCUGAGACUUGGAACGAUGGUGCAGGCAGGAGGGGUCACCGGUAGGGAUGCCACUGGAGGGACUGGGCCGUCCACACGGACCAGCUGACACACUAAGUGCUGGGUACACAGCAGGACAAUGGCAAGGGCUGCUCAGACUGCGUUUUUAAAAUCGCCUCACCACGAAAGACAGAAAGUAGGGAAGGGUACCUUGCUGUGGCCAAGGCCGCCCUCGCUGAGUCAGCUGGCAUUCCCACGACUCCACGAGUCCCCAAAGGGCUUGUCAGAGCCCAGCGGCACCCUCGCCCUGGAAGUGCCCUGCGUCCUCCUCAAGAGCCUUAUUUGGGACAGAGAUCAGAUCAACCGCGCCACCACCCUCCCACCCACCUUCCACAUGUGAUAGGGUCGCAGGAAUGGGGAGCCUCGCAGAGGCGCGGCGGCAGCUCUCGCCUGCCAGUGACAGCCCACCUCCCACUUUAAAACAGGACGUUCCGAGUCCUGGUUCCACAUGUUCAAAAGGCCGUGGCAUGGGGGAGUGGGCCUACACCUGAGCUUUGGCUGCGAAAACACUCAUUUCAAGGAUAGCUGCUAGGCGCUGCCUUCCCCCAUCCCCCUGCUGUUGGCCCCCAUCCAAGCAUCUCCAGCCUCUGCCAGGCCCUGCCCCCUUCCCCGCCCUCUAUGGCCCUGAAGUGGGAGCCGGCUCAGGGCUGCAGGCUGCCUGCUCAGCGCCGGCACUCGCAGGCCCAUCCCUGCUGUGAGCAAACAGACCAGUAGCAUCCCUGAGACAGAGAUGGACACCACUCCUGGGUAGGAGGGCAGGCUAUGGACAUCCGUUGCUGGAAAAGCUGGGAAGAGGGCUGGCAGUGGAGACGCUUCAGGUGCACCGUGUGGACAGACAAGGUUGCAAGUGAUGCUGGUCCUCAAGGUAUCAGGUGUGAGUCAUCCCAAAAGGACCCUGCCUAAGAGGGUGGCCUGUCAAGAGGAGCCUUCUGGGGGCACAGCAGGGCCAGGAGUUGAGACAUAGGAGGUUGCCCAGAAAGUGUGGGAUGCAGCUUAGGCAAAGUGCAGAGGGUGAGCCCCAUAUCUCCCAAAAGAAGACCACAGAUGCCCUAGCCUCUCUCCCCCACGCCCUGUCAGGGCCACCAUGAGGGAUGACCCUCUGUAGCCACAGGGUUGAAACUGCUGAAAAUCAAACACAAGUCCUCACCAUGUGACUGGCUGAAUUACAGCAAAAGCUGAACUCCCAGCCUCCCAGGAUGUCUACUAUUAAAGUGGACCCCUACUGAGUCUGAUCCCACUGAGACCCUGUGACCUUCUGGGUCUCCAUGCCUCCUGCUGGGUCUGGCACUUGCAGGCGCUCGGCAAUGUUACUCCAUUGGAAGCGUGAAUAAAUGAGUGAACAAACAAAGAAAAAGACAGAUUGCCAUUUCUUUUUUUUUUUUUUU
rnacentral:lncRNA from 10 species